rnacentral:rRNA from 1 species
CCUACGGGAGGCAGCAGUGGGGAAUAUUCGGCAAUGGGCGCAAGCCUGACCCAGCAACGCCGCGUGAAGGAAGAAGGCUUUCGGGUUGUAAACUUCUUUUCUCAGGGACGAAGAAAGUGACGGUACCUGAGGAAUAAGCCACGGCUACCUACGUGCCAGCAGCCGCGGUAAUACGUAGGUGGCAAGCGUUAUCCGGAUUUACUGGGUGUAAAGGGCGUGUAGGCGGGAAAGCAAGUCAGAUGUGAAAACCAUGGGCUCAACCUGUGGCCUGCAUUUGAAACUGUUUUUCUUGAGUACUGGAGAGGCAGACGGAAUUCCUAGUGUAGCGGUGAAAUGCGUAGAGAUUAGGAGGAACACCAGUGGCGAAGGCGGUCUGCUGGACAGCAACUGACGCUGAGGCGCGAAAGCGUGGGGAGCAAACAGGAUUAGAUACCCGAGUAGUC